AAAUUGAAGAGUUUGAUCAUGGCUCAGAUUGAACGCUGGCGGCAGGCCUAACACAUGCAAGUCGAGCGGUAGCACAGAGAGCUUGCUCUCGGGUGACGAGCGGCGGACGGGUGAGUAAUGUCUGGGAAACUGCCUGAUGGAGGGGGAUAACUACUGGAAACGGUAGCUAAUACCGCAUAACGUCGCAAGACCAAAGAGGGGGACCUUCGGGCCUCUUGCCAUCAGAUGUGCCCAGAUGGGAUUAGCUAGUAGGUGGGGUAACGGCUCACCUAGGCGACGAUCCCUAGCUGGUCUGAGAGGAUGACCAGCCACACUGGAACUGAGACACGGUCCAGACUCCUACGGGAGGCAGCAGUGGGGAAUAUUGCACAAUGGGCGCAAGCCUGAUGCAGCCAUGCCGCGUGUAUGAAGAAGGCCUUCGGGUUGUAAAGUACUUUCAGCGAGGAGGAAGGUGUUGAGGUUAAUAACCUCAGCAAUUGACGUUACUCGCAGAAGAAGCACCGGCUAACUCCGUGCCAGCAGCCGCGGUAAUACGGAGGGUGCAAGCGUUAAUCGGAAUUACUGGGCGUAAAGCGCACGCAGGCGGUCUGUCAAGUCGGAUGUGAAAUCCCCGGGCUCAACCUGGGAACUGCAUUCGAAACUGGCAGGCUAGAGUCUUGUAGAGGGGGGUAGAAUUCCAGGUGUAGCGGUGAAAUGCGUAGAGAUCUGGAGGAAUACCGGUGGCGAAGGCGGCCCCCUGGACAAAGACUGACGCUCAGGUGCGAAAGCGUGGGGAGCAAACAGGAUUAGAUACCCUGGUAGUCCACGCCGUAAACGAUGUCGACUUGGAGGUUGUGCCCUUGAGGCGUGGCUUCCGGAGCUAACGCGUUAAGUCGACCGCCUGGGGAGUACGGCCGCAAGGUUAAAACUCAAAUGAAUUGACGGGGGCCCGCACAAGCGGUGGAGCAUGUGGUUUAAUUCGAUGCAACGCGAAGAACCUUACCUACUCUUGACAUCCAGAGAACUUAGCAGAGAUGCUUUGGUGCCUUCGGGAACUCUGAGACAGGUGCUGCAUGGCUGUCGUCAGCUCGUGUUGUGAAAUGUUGGGUUAAGUCCCGCAACGAGCGCAACCCUUAUCCUUUGUUGCCAGCGGUUCGGCCGGGAACUCAAAGGAGACUGCCAGUGAUAAACUGGAGGAAGGUGGGGAUGACGUCAAGUCAUCAUGGCCCUUACGAGUAGGGCUACACACGUGCUACAAUGGCGCAUACAAAGAGAAGCGACCUCGCGAGAGCAAGCGGACCUCAUAAAGUGCGUCGUAGUCCGGAUUGGAGUCUGCAACUCGACUCCAUGAAGUCGGAAUCGCUAGUAAUCGUAGAUCAGAAUGCUACGGUGAAUACGUUCCCGGGCCUUGUACACACCGCCCGUCACACCAUGGGAGUGGGUUGCAAAAGAAGUAGGUAGCUUAACCUUCGGGAGGGCGCUUACCACUUUGUGAUUCAUGACUGGGGUGAAGUCGUAACAAGGUAACCGUAGGGGAACCUGCGGUUGGAUCACCUCCUUACCUUAAAGAA
rnacentral:rRNA from 1 species